UGGAGACUCGCCAUACGGAAGCUGAGAUGAGCUCCCCCAGCUGUGGAGAGACCCAGGGCUGCUGUACUAUUUUAAAUGUUCCAAAAUUCAUUGUUGAUGCACCACACCCAGUGCUCCAUGCUCAGAUCCUCUUAUAACAAGAGUUUUCUGGAGAAAAUAACCAAAGGACUGGCCAUGACGCUAUUAGCCAUUUCGAGGUCAGGUGGAGUGACCACAGGUGUAGCUGGGGGAGACAGGAGCCAGUGGAGUAACAAUGGAUACAUCUGGUAAGAGGCGUGGGCUGGUAAACUCUUCUAACCACACCACGAAGGACAUCGUCCUCUCUGCUCACAUGGAGAACUAGUCACGUGACCAUGAGUGCCCCACUUCACAUAAAAGUGCAUUCUAUUCAAAUUGUAUUUUUCAGCCAACAAUCAUUAGAAAACAGGUUUCAUCUUGGGUCACUACUAUGAGCUGACUGUGUCCUUCCAAAAUUCAUAUGUUGAAAUCUUAAUCCCCAGUGCAAUGGUAUUUGGAAGUGCAGACUUGGGAGGUAAUUAGGUAUGAAUGCGGUCCCAGGGGUUGGGAUUGGUGUCAUUCCGAGGGAAUGAAGAACUCAAGCUCACUCUCUCUCUGCCAUGUGAGGAAAUCAGGAAGAGGGCUGUCACCAGAACCUGACCUGCUGACAGCCUGCCUCAGACUUCCCAGCCUCUAGGACUGUGAGAAAUGAACGCUUGUUGAUUAGGCCAUUCAUUCUAUGGUAUUCA
rnacentral:lncRNA from 1 species